rnacentral:rRNA from 1 species
UACGGAGGGCGCAAGCGUUGUUAGGAAUCACUGGGCGUAAAGCGCGUACAGGCGUCUUGGUAAGUCGGGUGUGAAAUCCCGGAGCUCAACUCCGGAACUGCACCCGAUACUGACUAGCUAGAGUCCCGGAGAGGAUGGCGGAAUUUCCGGUGUAGAGGUGAAAUUCGUAGAUAUCGGAAGGAACACCAGCGGCGAAGGCGGCCAUCUGGACGGUGACUGACGCUCAGACGAGAAAGCGUGGGGAGCAAACAGG